AGCAGCCGCGGUAAUUCCAGCUCCAAUAGCGUAUAUUAAAGUUGUUGCAGUUAAAAAGCUCGUAGUUGAAUUUCGGGAUCAGCAGGUCGGUCGUGCCACUGGUAUGCACUGGCCUUGCUGAUUCCUCCCUCUUGAUGAGCCGUAAUGCCAUUAAUUUGGUGUUGCGGGGAAUCAGGACUGUUACUUUGAAAAAAUUAGAGUGUUUAAAGCAGGCAUGCGCUUGAAUACAUUAGCAUGGAAUAAUGAAAUAGGACGUUCGAUCCUAUUUUGCUGGUUUCUAGGAUUGACGUAAUGAUUAAUAGGGAUAGUUGGGGGCAUUAGUAUUCAAUUGUCAGAGGUGAAAUUCUUGGAUUUAUUGAAGACUAACUACUGCGAAAGCAUUUGCCAAGGAUGUUUUCAUUAAUCAAGAACGAAAGUUAGGGGAUCGAAGACGAUCAGAUACCGUCGUAGUCUUAACCAUAAACUAUGCCGACUAGGGAUCGGAUGAUGUUAAUUUUCUAAUGACUCAUUCGGCGCCUUG
rnacentral:rRNA from 1 species